GGGCAGGGCCAUGAUCAGUAAAUCUUUAAUCCAAUUUUCUGUUGAUAGGCGUGGCUGUGUUCCCUCCCUGUUAUUUGACAUGAGACCAAACCAUGGUGGAGGUGAUGACGAUAACGGCAUGAAAAAGUUGAUUUAAAGCUCAGCAUUCAGAAAACUAAGAUCAUGG